rnacentral:rRNA from 1 species
GAUGAACGCUGGCGGCGUGCCUAAUACAUGCAAGUCGAACGCUUCACUUCGGUGUAGAGUGGCGCACGGGUGUGUAAUACAUAAGUAACCUGUCAUCUACAGGGGGAUAACUGAUGGAAACGUCAGCUAAGACCGCAUAUUUUUAGAGAUCGCAUUUACUCUAUAUGAAAAGUGCUACGGGACUGUUAGAUGAUGGACUUAUAGGGCCUUAGCUUGUUGGUAGGGUAACGGCCUACCAAGGCGACGAUGCGUAGCCGACCUGAGAGGGUGACCGGCCACACUGGGACUGAGACAGGGCCCAGACACCUGCGGGAGGCAGCAGUAGGGAAUUUUAGGCAAUGGGGGAAAGCCUGACCGAGCAACGCCGCGUGAAGGAAGAAGUAAUUCGUUAUGUAAAGUUCUGUCAUAGAGGGAGAACGGUGGAUAUAGGGAAUGAUAUGAAAGUGACGGUACUGUAUAAAAAAGCCACGGCUAACUACGUG